rnacentral:rRNA from 1 species
AUUGAACGCUGGCGGCAUGCUUUACACAUGCAAGUCGAACGGCAGCGCGGGCUUCGGCCUGGCGGCGAGUGGCGAACGGGUGAGUAAUGCAUCGGAACGUGCCCAGUAGUGGGGGAUAGCCCGGCGAAAGCCGGAUUAAUACCGCAUACGACCUGAGGGUGAAAGCGGGGGACCGAAAGGCCUCGCGCUAUUGGAGCGGCCGAUGUCGGAUUAGCUAGUUGGUGGGGUAAAGGCUUACCAAGGCGACGAUCCGUAGCUGGUCUGAGAGGACGACCAGCCUCACUGGGACUGAGACACGGCCCAGACUCCUACGGGAGGCAGCAGUGGGGAAUUUUGGACAAUGGGGGCAACCCUGAUCCAGCCAUGCCGCGUGCGGGAAGAAGGCCUUCGGGUUGUAAACCGCUUUUGUUCGGGAAGAAAUCCUCUGGGCUAAUACCCCGGGGGGAUGACGGUACCGGAAGAAUAAGCACCGGCUAACUACGUG